UGGAGUGCCAAGCCAGGCAUCCACAGUCUACCAUCUUCGGGGUGAAAUGGUGAAGACGAGUUCCAGGUAGUGCGAAUAGCCCCGGCUUUAAUUUUUCUACUUUCUCUCUCUAGGCGGCCCUUGUGUCAUGCUCAAUCCGCCACAGAAGAAGUGGGAGUGGAGCAUGGUUCUCUUAUUCUGCUUGGUAUGAUGAGGAGCUUUCACUGAAGACUGGAGUUCCCCGGUUGUUUUUCCUUCAGUCGCCAGGCAAUGGAAUACCUCUCAGAAGAAGUGGUGAAAAGAAAGGGGUUGAACGAUCCCUUCUCUGUGGCUACCCUAGAGGAUUCAGGAGCCCUAGAAAAACAUGGCAGCUGGAGCAGAGCAGGGAGUGGAUCAGUUACACAGGUACAGCAGCCAUGUUGCUAAAGCGCAGAGCUGCCGGGCUGUGGGAGUCAUGAGGCGGCCCUGCUUCACUCAGUAUGGGCUCAGGGGGAGACCACCAUGGAUGUGUCUGCAGGUCUAGGCCCUAAGAGCAGUGCGGGGGAAAGGGGUAGCGAGCAAAGGACCAGCGUUCAGCGAGGAGCAUGAGCGGCAGUACGCUGAAGUAGGAGCACUAGCUCUUGUGAAAAAUCUGCGGACUAGGGGGCUAGUAAAGAGGGAGAGAUGCCCAGAGAGCAUACAGCUGUUUCGGUCGAGCGAGAGCGAGUUCUCCGGCGGCUGAAGAGUGGUUCUUGAAUCGGACAGAUGAUGUUCCAUCCUCUUUUCUGCCAAUCACCCAAAGAUGAGGACAACACCCAAACUGGCACGAUAACAGCACUGUAUAAGAAGAGGACCCAAUGGUUCCAAAAGGCCUGGUGUUGCUCUUCCGCCGUCCGCCCAGAGUCUGCCGCAGCUAUUUGGACAGCAACAGGUGAAAAGGUGAGAGGAGGUUGCUGAAAUCCAUAUGACCAAGACACACCUGUCUGUCCAGGAGACGGAUACCUCACCAGAUAUGGUGUCUUUCUGACAUUCUUGAUGCACAUCCAAUGAUGAGUGGGUGAUGGAGGUCCCUCUGCUGUAACCCUGACCUCCAGAGCAUAAUGACCGCUCCAAAGACAGGACCUAAGGAAAGAUGAGUCAAAUGAAACCCAUCUAGACACCACUGCUUCUGCUGCAAACAUGAUGGCAUGAUCUGUCUCUGUGAAGACAAAAACUAUGUACCUGUUGUGCAAUUCUCAGAUCAUAUGGUUCAUUUUGAAACGGUUAAACUGAAACAGUGAAACGUUUUACCAAUAGAGGUUACGCUGCUUAUGAUAUGAACUGUAUCGUCCGUUGAUGUAUUAUAUUUCAUGAUGUUACAUAUCUUCAAUAAAUGUAUUGGUGUAUUUGGUAGAAAUAUUGAGCAUUACAAUAUUUGGAAACUGGGGUAGGGAGUUCACAACCAGAGCUGGGGAAGGUAAUUGCAGGUUUUUGUUCCAGCCCUCCAGGACAGAGAAUACCCCCCUACACACACCAUUUGCCGCUGUAGGUUUAGAGAUCUACAGAUGGCCUCUGUAAAUAUCUGAAUAAGGCUAGCCUCUACCGUGUAAAUGAUAACACCAUUUCUGGUCAUAAUUUAUCUAAAUUCAGGACAUUGUGGGGUAACUCUAUCCUCCAGUAUGGUGUGUGUUAUCGUAUAUUGUUCAUGUUGUAUCACUGCAACCCUCAGGUGAUGAAACGGUCUGCCCUCUCUCGCUCUCCUUUUUCUCCAAGCUCCCAGGACAGCUUUCAGCCAUGGAUAUUCAUCCCCUUUAUUUAAAACACACACGUUCCACUGCCUACCGGUCAUUCAUCACUGCCAACUAGAGUGGGUAUGUGUGGCCAUUUAGGCUUAUUGAUUAGCCAUAUCAUUCACAGAUAUCUCUCUCAAGUAUUUACUGUGUACAUCAGCAAACAGGAACCACACAGUAAGUGGAUAUACCUCCUCACUCACACUUGAAUAUCCUCUGAGAAGAACCCAAGCAGGAAGCGUUCUCUCUGGGGGUGUCAAGUCAAGCCCAGGAGAUGGUCAGCAUCAUGACACUAAGGAAGACCCUUGAGAACCAAUCGAAGGCCCAUCUGUGUUCAGCACAGAGUGAAUCCUGUGUUUCCAGGUUUAAACUGAACGUUAUUAAAACAAGUGGGCCGAAAGGUCAGGAGAGAGCAGCCCACAAAAACAAACAAUUCAUUUGGCAUGGAGGUGUAAUGGGAUGAGAUGUGGGCUGGGGCCGGGCCUAUUGUUCUGCUGGAAUUAACCGUGGCAGGUCAUGUGUCACUGGGCACUGACCCCGGCCCCAUUCAGGAGCCCAAACUCUGCAUUAGCCACGGCCCAAAGAGAGGUCAAACAUAGUCACAAACCAGGCACACACACAGCCAGUUCUGACCAGGGCAGCACUUACAAAACAAAGAGGGGUAUUACCAUGCGGUGGUUGUGACACUGGCGGCAUCAAAGCCUUUGUGACUCAUCCGUUGGCCUGAAUCUGUUGGACUGGUGCAUAUUGGAGACAUUAAGCAUGAACGACAUACACCUAAAUACUCCUAUUUCAUCUGUGCAAAGUGUGUGAGCCGGAGGUGACUCCACUCCCCAUUCCCACAUCCAUACCUGGCUGAGGUGGAGAGUUGGAAUGAGAGUACAGAGUACAGAGUGAGUCAGAGGAGUGGGUUUGGUUCCUGUGGGGCCUGCUUGGGCAUACACUCAGACCACCCAUCAGGAUUGCUUUGUGCGGUCUAGUCUGCAUGCUUCUUUUCCUCUCUGCAGCAUGUCAGUCUCCUUGCAUGUGAAGCCAAUCGCUCGGCUGUUGUAGGCGUUUACAUUUCCACCUGACAGAUGCCUGGUGGAACAGUGGCAUGUUGUAAAAACAUCUGAUCCUUUAGCUGCAGGCUACAGAUACUGCUAAUUGAAAAAUGACCUCCCUCGAGUCAUGAACGCCUAUUACAAUAUUAUUGUUGCACAGUGCAAUCACAUUCUAUAAUUUCUCAAGACUUGGCUGCUUUGCCUCGUUUCACUGACAUUCCUCCUCUGUCCACUCGAGCGUAUAAUCACAACAUAUUUAUUGAUUAGAGGACAAACAGUAGCUAGCUCAACUGGACGGUAUCCUUUGUUUUAUUCCUAUUCAGCAUGGUGGCAGCAGUACUUCUCCCAGGUAGCUAGAUGACAGCCAGCCACAGCUAAAGCAGGCCUUUUCUCCAGCAUGGCUCUGCUGUCUCUGCCCUAAUUGAUUGGAAGGGGAAAGGCAGAACAGCUGCCCCAAAGCGCACAGCCAGAAUUAAAACUUCAAUCCCACUGCCGAACACUCAAUUUCAUCCAUGAUCCAGCAUUAUACAAAUGAGUUGAGAACAGACAGACAGGUGUAUGGUUCCCCAGUAGGGUCCCUGGGCACACUGGCCUCAGAACCACAAACUGCUCCCCUCUCUCUCCCAGCAGCACCAGGUCCUCUGUGCUCCCUAUGUGCUCCCUCUGUGCUCCCUACCUUCCUCCAGACAGCCUCCAGCCAAAACUACAACAGGCCAAUUCUAGUUUUUAGGGGAUCAAUUCACAGCACUUUUCAUUUAGGUAAGAAUCAACAAGAGGGUGUAACACUUAAAUCAUCAUCAGCCCAGUAGCUUUGCCUGCCAUUUCUGGGCCCUCUUCCACACACAUACAUUAACCAGAAUAUGCUAUAAAAUGUGUAGAAAUACUAGCCCACCAGUAAGCAGUAAGAACACGCAUAACUUUCACAGAGGACAACAAAGGAGAUGGAUAUGCAAAAGCUCAGAAUAUGUUAGAAAGUCACUGGGAUAGUUAUAGUUUUACACGACCAGUUUUAAAUUACAACUGUUUUUAAAGGUGAUAUUAGAUACAACAGAUACAUUAAGAGUGAAUUGUGUCAAAAUAACACAAAGUAACUUAUGUUUUUGACUGCUCUGGGCCUUUAAAAAUUUAUUGUCCUGUGUUUUAUAUAUAUUUCCACACUGAGGUUGGAAUAAUAGUGUGAAAUUGUGACAAUUAUGAUAAUGCCCUUUUAGUGUAAGCUGUUUGAAAAGACUGCCUGAAAUUGAAUCAUGUUUUGGUGGGAUGGCAUUUUGGCCUGCCUGCUAACAUCACCAGGCGGUAAAUUAGUUAAUAGACCAAUAAGAAAGAGAGUUCCAAACCUCUCUGCCAAACCUCUCUCUCUCUCCCACCCAGACCACUCCCAGACAGUCCUAACAAAAUUCUUGCUUGAGAAAUUUCUCUUUGCGAAGAAGCCAUUUUUGUUUAUUUUUGACCAUUUUAAUUUAAAACAAAUCACAGUAAGGUACUUAAUUGUUACCCAGGAAGGAUUUGAUAUUGAGAUAAAAAUGGCUGAAGUGGACCUUUAAGAAUCAUAACACAAUUCAGAAAUACAUUUGUAAAAAUCAACACAUUAUUGCAUCAACAUAAGCUAGACAGUGUACUGUACAGUUCAGCCAGUAGUCCAUAAAGAAGCAAUAUGUUUGCAUAAUAGUGACAUUUCUUCUGACUGUAUUAAGGAAUCUUGAUAGUUGCACAUGUGGCCUUUUCAGUGGCGAGAUGACUGGACACAUUCUUCUGAGUGCGGUGGGUCCAUGCAGCGGGCAGCCAGGCAAGGGUGAACAGAGUAGGAUCUUCACUACUAGGGCCAACACAGGCCGACUGUGUUCUCUUUUUGACUGGACGAUUGUCCUGCAUGGGACACAAGGAUCAGCCAAUCACUUAGAACCACUUUUUUUGUUCAGCUGCAACAACAAACACCAUCUUUUGACUUACUGGUUUGUACUGGUUAUAGUACAGUUGUCCAGAGGGGUUGAAACCUUUUGUGUAAGGAUUGGGAUACACACAAUGGUUUCUCAACAUAACAAGAAAACGUCUGAGUUAUUAAAUAUUGUAUCAUUGUUCCCACUUGAAAACCUGAUCAUGUACGGCAAAUGCUUUACCUAAUGAAACAUUUGUUAACAUUCUUAAAUGGACUCAUUAAAAUGUGUGAGUGUAAUCAUGCAUAAACAAAAGAAGAAGUGAAAGCUUCCCUCCACAGUUGUCCUCAUGUUGACAUAGAACUGAGUGCUCGGCGAAAUCGGCUUGUCAGGGGCCUUGUGUAGCGUGUGACAAGAAUCUUUGUAGUCAACAGAUCAUACUCAGACCCCAGCGCUACUUGCUUUCUGGUGCUGCAUACAAACUGAAUGAAUGGGAACCGGCUAGUCCCUUACUCCAAACAUUCAUCACAACUGUGCCAAACUGGGCCCAGGAUACAGAGCUCUGAAAUACAUCUUUGUCCCAAUGUUUUACAUUUCAAAAUUCACAAAAGUCAAUAAAACAAAGAUGGCCAUCCAUCUCAUAGGAGCCUGAGAUAACCUAUAAAGUCAUCACAACAACAUUUACCAACACCUAUUGUACUGUUGAAUAAACAUAAACCAUAAUCAUAUUCAAGCAAUAUGUAUUAUAUCAUACACUACACAAAAAUAGAUUAUGGCUACAUUGCAAACCCAGUAAAAAGCAUAUAAAAGGAUUCAUGUAUACAUUUCACUAAAUUAUGCUACAAAUGUAUUUUUAUCCUUAUUCUGAGUGGUUGACUAUUUAAUUUAAAAAAAUCAUAUUUGACUAUGAUCCUGCUUUUAUUGUGUUUAGUAAAGUUGAGUUGUUCACAGUGAUUCAUAAAAACAGUUUUAUAAAUAGAGAAGAGUAUCUGAGAGGGAAGUUGACUAAUUCAAUCUAGUAAUUAAUGGUGAUUUUUAAUCACCAUGGGUUUGGUGAUUAAUAGAGUGAUUGGUACCGUACAGCAGUAUCAGGGGUUCACUUCAAACGUGCUCGUCUACCAGAUCACUACAUGUCUGGGGACACCAACCUGUUCCAACACAGAACAACCAUGUCUUCACUGGACAACCUCUCUGCCUUUUCCUCUUAUAAUAUAUACUGUAUAUUCCUAAUACUGUGUUGCACCCCCCCAUUUUGCCCUCAGAACAGCCUCAAUUUGUCAGGACAUGGACUCUACAAGUUGUCAAAAGCGUUCCUCAUGGAUGCUGGCCCAUGUUGACGCUAAUGCUUCCCACGGUUGUGUCAAGUUGUCUAGAUGUCCUUUGGGUGGUGGACCAUUCUUGAUACACACGGGAAACUGUUGAGCGUGAAAAACCCAGCAGCGUUGCAGUUCUUGACACAAACCGGUGCGCCUGGCACCUACUGUACUAUCAUACCCCAUUCAAAGGCACUUAAAAAUGUUGUCUUGCCCAUUCACCCUCUGAAUGGCACACAUGCACCAUCCAUGUCUCAGUUGUCUUAAGGCUUAAAAAUCCUUCUUAAACCUGUCUCCUCCCCUUCAUCUACACUGAUGGAAGUGGAUUUAACAAGUGACAUCAAUAAGGGAUCAAAGCUUUCACCUGGUCAGUCUAUGUCAUGGAAAGAGCAGGUGUUGUUAAUGUUUUGUACUCAGUGUAUAUCGCUCUCCAUCUCUCUGCCACACAAUCAGAGAUGAUUUCCCAGUUGAGACUGGGCCUUUGAAAGUGAUGACUAAAGAGAACUGGAGCCUGCCAGGCCGUGUUUUUGGAUACUUGGGGACUGGGUUCUAGCGCGGGCCAAGCCAAGAUUAUAAAGAAUGAGCACAGGGGAGAAAAUUAAAUGGCACAUGGCAUAAGGCCACACAAGCACCUCGGCCCUCUGCUCAUCCCAUUCCCAGCAAUCUAUGAUGGAAAUGGAGGGAGAGUUUUUUUUCUUCUCUCACGCCACUUGUGUCCAAGCUGCUCUUGGAAUAAUAUUUAAAUAACCAUAAUAUUUAAAUGAAAUUCUGCUUCUUGUAUUUUUUCUAGAGUUCUAAUUUUUUAGAAAGCUUAUACACGGUCACUAUUUUUAUAGCCAUCUGUGUUAAUCAGGGUAGGCUCUAAUUAUCACCGACCGAAAAAACAACAGACCAUCAAAUAUUAUGGUAAGUCAAACCUUCUUUUUUUUUUUAUGUCAUCCAUUAUAUUUUUGGGACCUAAUAAUGUUCGAUUGGUUGUCCUUUACGAUUGACUUUUUAAAAUAAAGCUUUGGUUAGCAAGCGUUUAAGCAUGAAGAACAAGACCCUCUUGAAUUGAAUGAAGCCGGGAGGGAUUAAAUACAUUUCCUGUUCCUAAUCUGGAAAUUAGCCCUCGAAUGCCAGUGGGAAAAGACAGGCACUUUUCUUGGGGAUUUUUAACCAUUUGAAGGAAACAAUGUGACCGAGACAUGGAACCCGGAACCCAGAGGCCUGGUUGGUUGGGGCUGGGGUUGGGAACAGAACAGAGCAGACAAGGACAGACCAGGACAGAACUUUCAGGUCCAUUAGAGUGGAAUGUGGCUGGGGGUUGGUAUGAGAUAAAACAUGCAGGGGAAAGAGCCUGCCAUCCUUCCCCCCUCAUUGAGCGACCGCGUCCUUGAGGUCCCAUUCAUGGAAUCCCACUAAUGAGAGUGGAAAUGUCAGCUAUGAUACACUCAGAGGAUAGAAGGGAAACAGAGCGCCACACAAAGCUCUUUUAUGAGGCCUGCCUUCUAUUUCCUCUGCACUUGUUUUCCAACUCUUUUAUAACUUGAUUAGUGGGCCCUUUCACACAUUCUCACAUGCAGAAAGAGAGCUAUUUGCUUAUAGAUUAUUUUUAGUAAAGCACAGACUGCCCUCAUUGUAUUGGGUGGUGGUAAUGGUGGUAGUGGUGGUGAUGGUGGUGUAGGGGUUGUAUGGUUAGGGGAUUGGAAUUGAUUGCCUAUCUGAAUGGUGUCUUCCAGUUGGGAAAACACAGACUCUAUAAUGCAUGCUUGGCUGGUCUGUGACAGUGGUGCUUCUACUUUCUUAACAGAGGACCACUGAUGGGGGAGGGCACAGCAAUGACAAUAAUUAUACUGAGAGAGCACAGUUAGUUGAAAGCUAAAAGUGACAUGAAGCUGGUGUGGCUGUUGGGCACACAUGAUGAGCAAGAGCCCACUGGUCUUCAUGUUGUCAUCUCCACUGAAGCAGCUGACCUUGUAGUGCCAAAGAGUAAGAGUAAUGUGUUCCUUGAACUGAUCUGAGAGCCAAAGGACUGGCUGUACACAUGGCAAAGUAGGUUACAUAGUUAAUUAAGAAAACUUGGCUCUAAAUCCGCUAAGUCAAGUUACCCCCCAUAGAGACAGUGGAAAUAACAUUGGGAGAUAGGAAAUCACUAAAUCCUGUGUAAAAUUAUAAAAAGAUGGACCUGUCAAAAACGGAGUCUGGCGCCUACGAGAAUGGCAUUAGAUAAAUUAACCUCCACACGACUCCAGAAGGGGAUGUGUGGUUAGGACAGCCAGCUCUACAUACUAGAGGGGGGGAGUAAGAGAGUGAGAGAGAGAGAGUGAGACACAGAGAGAGAUUUCCUGGGUUAGCAGGUAAUAGAAUAUCCUUGCAAGGUUUCUGGAUUACAAAGAGAGAGAUGAUCUCAGGUGUGAGGCCCCUUCUCCAUGAAUCUGAUCAAUCAUACUCAGACAGUUCCCCCAGGACAGAAUCGUAAGGAUAUUACACCUGUCUCAUUACCACACUCUUCAACACAGUCUAACCGUCAGGCUGCCUGGGAGUAAAGAGAGAGAGAGAGACAGUGUCAUCUCCACUUUUAUCCAUUUCACUGCCACUGUUUUCUCACAGAAAUAAAUCUACAAUUAUUACUAUCAUUACUGUGUUUUUGCUCCAUUUUAAAUGACUAAUAAUUGUACUUUUCAGAAGUGAUGGUGAACCAUGAGCGGUGCCAAAAACCAUGGUCUAUAAUUUAUAACAUGUCAAUAAAUAAUUCACAACAUAACCAUA
rnacentral:lncRNA from 1 species